rnacentral:lncRNA from 1 species
CAGAAAGUCUGUCCCUUUGUCAAACCUCCAUUUGCCUCCACACCUUUGACCCAUGGCUCCUACUUCUAAGUGCUCAACUCCCUAAUGCAGACGGGCUGCCUCGGGGCUCAUAACCUACCGGUCCCUCCUUUCGGCAAGUGGGGCUAAGUUUUCAAGAGAUACCCGCCUGCUGUCUUCUCUCCGUCCCUCUCUCCCCUUAAACAAGCUCCCCCUUGACUCCUUUUCUUAAGCUAUUGUUGCCUCUUCGCUUCUUUCAUAUGCCUGCCCUGCCUCCUUCGCCAGUCACUCCUUAAACUAGAAUCCUACUCGGCUCUGUCGAAAUUGCGGUCACAGGUUCCUAGCACCUCUUACUGCUAAAUUCAGUGGAUGACCUCUCUUGCGACUUCUGACAUAGCUGACCCUCUCUAGCUGGAUGCUUUUUCCUCCUUUCUUCUCUGUGACUCAGCUUCAUUUCUGAUUCUCAUCUCUGCCAGCCUUCUCGGUGUUCCCUCCUGGAUCGCCAUCCAUUUCCGGAGCCCUUGAGACACUUCGCCCCUGGUGACUGACUGUCCUGUCUUCUCGGCCACAGCCGUGGCCCUCUGAGGGCAAUCGCUCCUCUCUACCUCCUCCUCCGCUCUCCAGUUACAAAGGGCGCUCGUUAAGAACGAGGACCGUCUGGUGUGCUCGGUUCUGUAUCCGCGUGUUUAGCACAGAGCCUGAGGCAUGGGAAUUACGGCACAAGAGCUGUGACUAUGAAUUAAUUGACUAUCAAAUCGUAGAACUGAAAUGUCAGCAGGGGGCUUUUGGUAUGAUGAAGAGGAGGCUGAGAGAAGUGUGCUGUGAACAUCCUGGGGACCUGACUUAACAGCACCCAAGACCCCUGGGGAUCACCUAUCUGGAGGACUGGCCCAAGAAGACAUCAGAACAAAGCAGACAGGACAAUGAGGAGUUGAGAUGCAAGGCAGAAUGUUCUGCUACUUUCUUCAAUGCUUUAGUGAGGUGGUUGUGGUAGACUUAAGAAGAGGUAUUGGCCAAAGUGUGAGGUGGAAGAUGGUGGGAGGUGGU